rnacentral:rRNA from 1 species
AACGAACGCUGGCGGCAUGCCUAACACAUGCAAGUCGAACGAGACCUUCGGGUCUAGUGGCGCACGGGUGCGUAACGCGUGGGAACCUGCCCUUAGGUUCGGAAUAACUCCCCGAAAGGGGUGCUAAUACCGGAUAAUGUCUUCGGACCAAAGAUUUAUCGCCUUUGGAUGGGCCCGCGUUGGAUUAGCUAGUUGGUAGGGUAAAAGCCUACCAAGGCGACGAUCCAUAGCCGGUCUGAGAGGAUGAUCAGCCACACUGGGACUGAGACGCGGCCCAGACUCCUACGGGAGGCAGGAGUGGGGAAUAGUGGAAAAUGGGGGGAAGGCUGAUCGAGCAAUGCCGCGUGAGUGAUGAAGGCCUUAGGGUUGUAAAGCUCUUUUACCCGGGAUGAUAAUGACGGUACCGGGAGAAUAAGCUCCGGCUAACUACGUG